AUUAAAACAGAUUUCAUCCUUUUGUUAUUUUUUUUGUAGCAAGGAGACGCUCAUUUCGAUGGCUAUGGAUCUGUUCAAUAUCUUUCUGAUUUCAGUCCUGGCAAUGUGUUCUGGCGUUUCAAGGUUAGGGUUCUUCGUUUGUGGAAUGUGGAGUCUUUCACAGAAUUGAAUGAAGUUAAUUCAAUUGAAAUGGUACUCAUUGAUGAGAAGGGUGACAAGAUUCAUGCAUCUAUUCCUCGAGAGUUGUUGUAUUUGUUUUGUUCGAAAAUCAUUGAAGUGGAAAGUGUGAUUGCAUUUUGUCUGGUCAUUAUGUUGAUGAUUUUGAGAAGAUACUUAGCAGUCUUGAUGAUGGAUUACCUUUUGUGGUAGUUCAAUUUGCCAAAAUUAGAUUUUUUCGAGGUUAACCUACUUAUUGUUUGUCUAUUGGUUGAUAUUGUGUAUUUUAUAAUAGUUUUUAAAGUGUUUUUUGGUUGCUUA